rnacentral:rRNA from 1 species
UACGUAGGGUGCGAGCGUUAGUCGGAAUUACUGGGCGUAAAGCGUGCGCAGGCGGUUUUGUAAGUCAGAUGUGAAAUCCCCGGGCUCAACCUGGGAACUGCGUUUGAAACUACAAGGCUAGAGUGUAGCAGAGGGGGGUAGAAUUCCACGUGUAGCAGUGAAAUGCGUAGAGAUGUGGAGGAAUACCAAUGGCGAAGGCAGCCCCCUGGGUUAACACUGACGCUCAGGCCACGAAAGCGUGGGGAGCAAACAGG